CUGAUCCCACACGGACAGCCUGAUGGUCCCAUAGUGAGAUCCUGCUGAUCCCAUACAGACAGCCCACUGAUCCCAUACAGACAGCCCGCUGAUCCCAUACGGACAGCCUGCUGAUCCCAUACAGACAGCCCAUUGAUCCCAUAUGGACAGUGUGCUGAUCCCAUGGAGAGAUCCUACUGAUCCCAUAGGAACAGCCUGCUGAUCCCAUACAGACAGCCCACUGAUCCCACACGGACAGCCUUCUGAUCCCAUACGGACAGCCCACUGAUCCCAUAGGGACAGCCUUCUGAUCCCACACAGACAGCCUGGUGGUCCCAUAGUGAGAUCCUACUGAUCCCAUACAGACAGCCCACUGAUUCCAUAUGGACAGCCGCCUCAUCCCAUACAGACAGCCCACUGAUCCCAUUAGGUCAGCCGCCUCAUCCCAUACAGACAGCCCACUGAUCCCAUAGGAACAGUCUGCUGAUCCACACAGACAGCCUGGGGGUCCCAUAGUGAGAUCCUACUGAUCCCAUACAGACAGCCCACUGAUCCCACACGGACAGCCUGGUGGUCCCAUAGUGAGAUCCUACUGAUCCCAUAGGAACAGCCUGCUGAUCCCAUACAGACAGCCCACUGAUCCCAUACGGGCAGCCGCCUCAUCCCAUACAGACAGCCCACUGAUCCCACACGGAAAGCCUGGUGGUCCCAUAGUGAGAUCCUACUGAUCCCAUAGGGACAGCCUGCUGAUCCCAUACAGACAGCCCACUGAUCCCACACGGACAGCCUUCUGAUCCCAUACGGACAGCCUACUGAUCCCAUAGGGACAGCCUACAGAUCCCAUAGUGAGAUCCUGCUGAUCCCAUAGAGAGAUCCUGCUUAUCCCAUAGGAACAGCCUUCUGAUCCCAUACAGACAGCCCACUGAUCCCAUUAGGUCAGCCGCCUCAUCCCAUACAGACAGCCUACAGAUCCCAUAGGGACAGUCUGCUGAUCCCAUACAGACAGCCUGCUGAUCCCAUAGUGACAGCCUGCUGAUCCCAUAGGGACAGCCUGGUGAUGCCGUGGUGACAUUACGGUGAUCCCAUAGUGACAUCCUGCUGAUCUCAUAGGGACAGCUUGGUGAUCCCAUAGGGACAUCCUGGUGUUCCCAUACAGACAGCCCACUGAUCCCAUGGUGACGUUGCAGUGAUCCCAUAGUGACAGCCUGCUGAUCCCAUACGGGCAGCCCACUGAUCCCAUACGGACAGCUGCUGAUCCCAUAGUGAGAUCCUGCUGAUCCCAUAGAGAGAUCCUACUGAUCCCAUAGGAACAGCCUGCUGAUCCCAUACAGACAGCCCACUGAUCCCACACGGACAGCCUUCUGAUCCCAUACGGACAGCCUACAGAUCCCAUAGGGACAGUGCUGAUCCCAUACAGACAGCCUGCUGAUCCCAUAGUGACAGCCUGCUGAUCCCAUACAGACAGCCCACUGAUCCCAUUAGGUCAGCCGCCUCAUCCCAUACAGACAGCCCACUGAUCCCACACGGACUGCCUGGUGGUCCCAUAGUGAGAUCCUACUGAUCCCAUACAGACAGCCCACUGAUUCCAUAUGGACAGCCGCCUCAUCCCAUACAGACAGCCCACUGAUCCCACACGGACAGCCUGGUGGUCCCAUAGUGAGAUCCUACUGAUCCCAUAGAGAGAUCCUGCUUAUCCCAUAGGAACAGCCUGCUGAUCCCAUACAGACAGCCCACUGAUCCCAUUAGGUCAGCCUUCUGAUCCCAUACGGACAGCCUACAGAUCCCAUAGGGACAGUCUGCUGAUCCCAUACAGACAGCCUGCUGAUCCCAUAGUGACAUCCUGCUGAUCUCAUAGGGACAGCUUGGUGAUCCCAUAGGGACAUCCUGGUGAUCCCAUACAGACAGCCUGCUGAUCCCAUGGUGACGUUGCGGUGAUCCCAUAGUGACAGCCUUCUGAUCCCAUAGUGACAUCCUACUGAUCCCAUACAGACAGCCUUCUGAUCCCAUGGUGACGUUGCGGUGAUCCCAUAGUGACAGCCUGCUGAUCCCAUAGUGACAUCCUACUGAUCCCAUACAGACAGCCUUCUGAUCCCAUACGGACAGCCUACUGAUCCCAUAGUGACAGCCUGCUGAUCCCAUACAGACAGCCCACUGAUCCCAUAGGAACAGCCUGCUGAUCCCAUACAGACAGCCCACUGAUCCCAUACAGACAGCCCACUGAUCCCACACGGACAGCCUGGUGGUCCCAUAGUGAGAUCCUGCUGAUCCCAUACAGACAACCCACUGAUCCCAUACGGACAGCCACCUCAUCCCAUACAGACAGCCCACUGAUCCCACACGGACAGCCUGGUGGUCCCAUAGUGAGAUCCUACUGAUCCCAUAGUGAGAUCCUGCUGAUCCCAUAGAGAGAUCCUACUGAUCCCAUAGGAACAGCCUGCUGAUCCCAUACAGACAGCCCACCGAUCCCACACAGACAGCCUUCUGAUCCCAUACGGACAGCCUGCUGAUCCCAUAGUGAGAUCCUACUGAUCCCAUACAGACAGCACACUGAUUCCAUAUGGACAGCCACCUCAUCCCAUACAGACAGCCCACUGAUCCCAUACGGACAGCCUGGUGGUCCCAUAGUGAGAUCCUGCUGAUCCCAUAGAGAGAUCCUACUGAUCCCAUAGUGAGAUCCUGCUGAUCCCAUACAGACAGCCCACUGAUCCCACACGGACAACCUUCUGAUCCCAUACAGACAGCCUACUGAUCCCCUAGUGAGAUCCUGCUGAUCCCAUACAGACAGCCCACUGAUCCCAUACGGACAGCCGCCUCAUCCCAUACAGACAGCCCACUGAUCCCACACGGACAGCCUGCUGAUCCCAUAGUGAGAUCCUGCUGAUCCCAUAGAGAGAUCCUAC
ensembl:lncRNA